rnacentral:rRNA from 1 species
UUCCCCUACGGGGGGCAGCAGUGGGGAAUAUUGGGCAAUGGGCGCAAGCCUGACCCAGCAAUGCCGCGUGAAGGAAGAAGGCCCUCGGGUUGUAAACUUCUUUUAUCAGGGACGAAGGAUGUGACGGUACCUGAUGAAUAAGCUCCGGCUAACUACGUGCCAGCAGCCGCGGUAAUACGUAGGUGGCAAGCGUUGUCCGGAUUUAUUGGGCGUAAAGCGAGUGCAGGCGGUUCAAU